GCCAUGCUCUCGUCUUCGACGGCCAGCCGAAUGCCGAUCUGGCGCGCUUCCCCGGCGCCAGAUCGGCAUUCGGCUGGCCGUCGAAGACGAGGCGGCUCGUUGU
rfam:Segniliparus rotundus DSM 44985, complete genome.